UACGGGGGGGGCAAGCGUUGUUCGGAAUUACUGGGCGUAAAGGGCUCGUAGGUGGCCAACUAAGUCAGACGUGAAAUCCCUCGGCUUAACCGGGGAACUGCGUCUGAUACUGGAUGGCUUGAGUUUGGGAGAGGGACGCGGAAUUCCAGGUGUAGCGGUGAAAUGCGUAGAUAUCAGGAAGAACACCCGUGGCGAAGGCGGUUCUCUGGGACGGUACUGACGCUGAGACGCGAAAGCGUGGGGAGCGAACAGG
rnacentral:rRNA from 1 species